rnacentral:misc_RNA from 1 species
ACACAAGCAUCAUUUUCAUCAAAGCAACAAUACAAAUACAAAUAUGAAUGCCCCUAUUUCACCGCGCAUUUUCUAAGCCUAUAGAUCAAAACCAGGGAAAGAAAAUAUUUCAAGCAAAAUUUUCCAGUAAACACUCUUACUCUUCUCCUAAAUCUAGACGAUGGCCUUUGUAAGCCAUCAAUAAUUCCUCUGCAUUUUCUGUAAAUCUCGAUACGUACUUCUCCAAGAAGUUAUGCUCUGUCAAACACAUCAUAUCAUAAAAUUUUGGGUCUUUCUUCAUAAG